rnacentral:rRNA from 1 species
CCUACGGGUGGCAGCAGUGAGGAAUAUUGGUCAAUGGGCGGAAGCCUAAACCAGCCAAGUAGCGUGCGGGAUGAAGGCCCUACGGGUCGUAAACCGCUUUUGCACGGGGAUAACACCCUCCACUUGUGGAGGUCUGCAGGUACCGUGCGAAUAAGGGCCGGCUAAUCGCGUGCCAGCCGCCGCGGUAAUACGGAAGGCCCGAGCGUUAUCCGGAUUCAGUGGGCUUAACGGGAGCGUAGGCGGGCGUUCAAGUCAGCUGUAAAAUCGGGCGGCUCAACCGCGCCCCGCAGUUGAAACGGGACGCCUUGAGGUCACAACAGGCAGGCGGAAUUCGGGGUGUAGCGGUGAAAUGCAUAGAUAU